ensembl:lncRNA
GUGAUGGGAGCCCUCUUAUUUUACCUCUCUGUCUCGUCUUCCCUUGUAUUUUUCAAGGGCAGUGUCGGCAGGGUUUGGCAGGGAAGGGUGUAAUUUUCUAAGUAUAACCCUGGCUAAGGGGGUAGUUGGACAUGAGUUGCCAGUUUAUGUUUGCUUUUUUAAAUUGGAUCCAAACACAGGCUCAGACGUACAACCCAAAGUCCUCCUGUAGCAGCUCAACUCUUCCUUCCCACCUCUGUCUAUUCUCUCUUUCUCUGCAGGAAGGAAGUCUCAGGAGAAAUGUGAAGCUGACUACAGUGUUGGGAGGAGUAGGUGACGUCUGAAGGUCCAGCAGGAUGACAUGCUGUUAUCAUGACUGUCCUGAUCAGGUCAGGUUACAGGAGACCACAACCCUACAGAUAAUCUCUCAACCCCAACAGAGGAGGAGAGAUCUAGGGGUCUGAAGAUGUUUUUUUUAUUACCCCUCACACCCAUGGUAAAUCUUAGGCCACAGACAAAUUCCUUUGUCCUGUUACUAUGGAGAACCAGCCUCAGAACAUUAAACAUGAAAUAAAGGGAUUUGAAACAAUGGUUUCCGUCAGCCACAAUGGUGGUGAUGACGAUAGAUGGAAUAUGAAAAUGUAUGUCAUUUUUGUUUUGUUAUUAAAUGUUAAAUAGAUUACAUUAUUACGGAAACAUUGUAACGUGAAGAGUUUUCCUAGUAUAUGUUUGAUGUUUAUACAUUGUACGUUGUAUGGAAAAUAUCCAAAUCAAAGAGAAUGAUUUGGGAAAGAUUAAAUGUGAAGUUAGUUGUCUAAAAUUGGAUUUGAGUCAAAUCUAGACUUUGCCCUCAUAACUUGGUACGCCCAGAGUAUUGCCCUAAAGGCGGUUAUGCCCACUUCUGACCCAAGGGUAUAAAACCUGUGAGUAAAGAAUUUACAGACAAGACUACGUGACCCAAGCUGCAGCCAAGGUCUAAAAAGUCAACUAACCCAAAAUGCAGCGCAAGUUUGAAGACAAACCUUUUUCUACCCAAGCUACGGAUGAGUAGCUGUGUCUAAGCGGAUGAAUUCAAGUCGAACCACCUAGCCUCCAUCUCCCAUCGAAUCGUGGUAUCUACACUGUUUCAUUCCAACGCUGUGAGCUCUGAGCUACAGAGCUGUCUGUCCUCAGAAGACCCCUUCCAGAGAAAGAGUGAGGGAACAGACUCCUAAGCCAAAAGGACACUGACAUCGGGAGGAUGAUCAGAGGUGCGCUGGAGAAGUGCGUUAUCGAGCAGCCUGAACGGUCUACGCAGAGAAUCCUCGGAGGUCUUCCCCACGUCCUGUGGAAAAACAUAAAAAUCAACUAAAAGAAGACAAAUGCUGUUGCUCAUAGGGAGACCACAGACAGGUCAGAUUGGGGACCAUUCCAAUCCUCAUUUGGUAGGAAAAAUGUAUUCAACAUGUGCCAUCCCCGGACUGCAGGGAAUAUGUAAUGUUAGGCUGAUGAUCACCUUAGAUUGUAGGGGACAAGACAGGAUGAAGGGCAAAUCACUACAUCUGCAGCAGCCAGGAGGGAAGAUUGUGUCACUAACUCGGGCUGGAAGACAAAGACAGAAGCUGAGCAUGUAUGAAAAACUGACCAUGGAAUUUCAUGAGCGCAAACGAAUGUAUUUAAAAGAAGAGCAUGACAUGAAGAUGCACAUCCUUCAUGUUGAGGUGUCUAUGAAUGAGGAGGAGAGAAACAUGAAGCAGCAGUAGUACCAAUCUUCUUAUCAAAUAAGCACCAGUUCGGGGUCCCGGUAUUUCCAUUUGUGAAUAAAAAAUGUUUUGGAUAUUACUGGUUUCAAUCACCUGAGCUGUCUUUGUUGGGAGAAGUGCUGCAUAGCAAAAGCAUCUCUGCAGGCGAGUCCAUUUCUGUCAUUCUCUGCCUCAACCAUGGGAACCAUCCUCAUCUUCAA